GCCUUCAAAUAUUAACUAGAUAACAGCAAUCACUCUCCGAAAUGAACAAGGUGUAGAGGAAUAGAAGUCAUUCUUGAUGAUUCCCGAUAACACCUGCCUCCAAAGGAACUGGAAUGUCUGCACAAAGAACAGAUCUCAGAGUCUCCCAUAGCCCCCCAGUGGGUGACGGAGCCUGUGUAGAUUCCUGCUUUGACAGGACAGUGGGUGUCCGGGUGCUGAAGAGUCAGUCACUGAUUACAGCUGUCUAUGUCCUUCACUCACCUGCAGAAAAUUCCCUCCAAACUAGGUAAAACGCAAAGAUGGGAGCUCCUGGGACCUCAGUCCAAAGUUAACAACCUUGUAACAGAUAGGGGCUUGCCUGGCCAUCACCCAGGGCCCCCAACUGCCUGCUACAGAGGAAACAUUACCCAUAUUUCUGCUAAAGAGGUUUGGACAAAUGCUUUUGCCAUUUCAUCCUGAGUGAGAGGAUCACAUUUUUUUUAAGCUGCUGACAAUCCUCGGGUGCAGCUCAGACAGAGGAAGAUCAGAGCCAAGAGAAAGAAACCCCCAACAACUCCCUGAAAUGAAGGCCUGUGGCCACCCAAGGGACAUCUUAACAAGCUGGGGGUCAUUCAGACACCUUAUCCGCAUCCUCACGCAAGACUCUAGGACACAGCGAGUGAAAUAAAGUGUGCAGAAAGAAAUUUCGUUUCUUAAGGCCAAGUGAAAAAAAACGUGCUUUAGAAAAAGUAAAUCCACACGGGGACCCUUGCUGUCGCCAAACCGUUACUGGUCUCCAACAGUCAGCUCCUCAUUAAAGGAAACCAAGGGAUUGGAAAAUGAAUGCAGCACCACACAUAGGCAAGCUCACAUCGCCAUCUGCCUGGUAGUAUCCAGAGGGGCAAAGGGCUUAAAUGGCACUCCUGAUUUCUCUCUCCUGCAGGUGGAAAUGCCAGAGUCCCAGAGGGGAGAAAGCAUCCCUUCCAAGGUCAACAGACUGAAAAGGAAGAGAAGCCAGUCCUGUUUACCUGUCAGCACGAUGCCACCGGUGACAUUAAACACGUGCAUAAAUCACGCACCCUGGAAUAGUUUACCCUUUUGUAGGAGGCUUCAGACCUUACUAAUUCACUGUGUCAGGUGAAGGAACACGCAGGCGUUCCAACUGAGUCAGGCAUUUAAACUUACCCUCCCCAUCACCUCCCUCUUCCUGAUCCAGGACUAUCCUCACCACCUCUUUAUAGUGAAGGUCCUAGAGAAAGGGGGGCGGGGGAUGCUGUAAUGACAGGUUAGUUAUGCCAAACGCAAAGGCCAUGGUUAAGCAACUUAAGCAGAUGCCCUGAGCUUUCUGCGCAUCCCACCUCCCCCACCCCAUCCCCACCUCCGGGCUCCUUUGUCAAUCACUGGUUUGGUUUUAAGAUGCCAGUGGGGCCUUGUAAAGGCUUUAACCUCCUUUCUGAAAGCUCACAUUGUGAAUUGAAAUAAUAAUUCACUUAAAUAGUUGAACUGUCAACAUCACAAUAAAGAUCUUUUCAGCCCCACUCACCACCUAAAAUACCUAGAAUACACUUGUGGGGAUGCGCAGCAAAGGGAAAACAUAGUCCCGUGUUUAACAUUUGGCCCAUCCAACUUGCUUAAUUCUUCAUAGUACCGGUAGAUCACAUUCACUCUGUAUCUCUUCGACUUGGGUUAAGAGGAAGAAAAUCUGAAGGCAAUAAGGUACCUCGGGGGAGAAAAAGCGACAGCGGACCGGCUGCAGUCUCAUUAGAUCCCAAGAGAAUGCAGAGACGUGGUCCAGUGGCCAAAAGGCCUUUACCAAUCCCACGUACCACUAUCUGAAAAACUGACUGUGGAAACGUUCGCAGAGCACGGCUCCUCCACUCCAGUCCUGCUGAAUGUAAACCACGGGGCCACCACUGCUGCAUGACAGCGCUACACUCGAGGCUCCCAGCAGCGGAUGCUCAUUCUACAACUCAGAAGCAAUAAUCUCACCGCAGGACGCCGGGGAUCGGGUUGGAGCCCCGGAACCCAUUAAUUUUCUUUACCUUUCAGGGCCGCUCUUGUGCAAGCUAUAGGACGUCAGAGAAGAAACAGGGCUGAAGAAGUAACGAGAAGAACAGUUUCUAUCAGUCAUUACUAUUUAAGUCUGGUAAUAAGUAUGUAGAAAUGACUGAAGACUCUAUCAUCUAAGCAAACACUCAGGAUUUCUUCACUUGUGCCUCUAGCAGCAAAGCAACCAGAAGAUCUCCAUGUUUCCCACUGGGGAAGGGACCUUGUCCUUCUUCCUAAUGUCAUCGUGAAAGAGAUCUCUGUGUUUGCCUCUCUCGCGCUGUUUGUUUUUAAACACAACUCUGAAGAUUCAUGGCAAACCCUCAGCCAUGAAUAGCUAGACUGUGCCGAGUAUGUAUUAAAAAUAGCAAGCUCCACCUCCACAUGAUGAAGGAACAGAAUAUAAUUUUAGCCAAAGUUUGUCUGGCCUGACUGGGAUUUAAACAGCAGCCUGGGCUAUAAGAUGUGGCCUUCUUGGCCAGGCGGAUGUCCAAUAAAAGUCUACCAAAUGGAAA